rnacentral:rRNA from 1 species
UACGGAGGGUGCGAGCGUUGUCCGGAAUCACUGGGCGUAAAGGGCGCGUAGGCGGCGCGGGAAGUCAUCGGUGAAAGUUCAGGGCUCAACUCUGAAUCGGCCGGUGAUACUCUCGUGCUUGAGCACCGUAGAGGCAGGUGGAAUUCCGGGUGUAGCGGUGGAAUGCGUAGAGAUCCGGAAGAACACCGGUGGCGAAGGCGGCCUGCUGGGCAGUAGCUGACGCUGAUGCGCGACAGCGUGGGGAGCAAACAGG